rnacentral:rRNA from 1 species
UACGUAGGUGACCAGCGUUGUCCGGAUUUACUGGGCGUAAAGAGCGCGCAGGCGGUCGGAUAAGUCGAAUGUGAAAGCCCCCGGCUCAACUGGGGAGGGUCAUUCGAUACUGUUCGACUCGAAGGCAGGAGAGGGAAGUGGAAUUCCCGGUGUAGUGGUGAAAUGCGUAGAUAUCGGGAGGAACACCAGUGGCGAAGGCGGCGAUCUGGCCCAACACUGACACUGAGACCCGAAAGCAUGGGGAUCAAACAGG